AUGCUGUCGGAGCGGCACCGGAUACAGGAUUCGCUCAGGACCCUUCGUGAGGCAGACGCAUCGGAGUGAGCAGCGCUGCACAUGAGGACAUGUCACCGAGGCAGGAUCCAUAGCAACGCAGGCGGCUGAAUCCAGGCAGAGGACGACAUCAUGUACAAAUGUGAUAAAUGCUGUGAAGCAGAAAACCCUCUUGCUGUCUUUAUCCAGCGCUCUCCAUUAAGGCGAUUUGCUAAGGUACUGUACGCCCCAUUUGGAGCCGGCGCCGCUGCUCAUCCAGAUGCUCACCUCCAGCCAGCGCGGCAGGAUGAACGGGUGACUCACCACGUCACCGCGCAGGUGCUUCUGACGGCGUGGCAGCCAUGUGCGGACGCGUCGCCACCAAUUACAUGUUCCCAGUGUCAGACGCUGGUUCGCGCCGGCUGCCGCUGCUGUGGAUGCUGAGCGGCCUAAUCAUGCUGAGAAUGUUCAGACGAGGCAGAGGAAAGAUGGUGUUUGUUGGUGUUUACACAUUCCACAAUGUGGGAAGAGGCCCAUUUUUACCCUCAAAUGUUCGGAAUUAAUAAUUGCCUGUUUGUUUCUCACUUUCUUUGCUGUGCACUUAGAUGGAUGGACGAUGAAAUUAUUACUGCGACGUAAUCGGUUGUCCGUGACCCAUGUUUUGGUGUCUUUGUUGCCCAUUAAAGUAAUUUUCCGACUCUCCAAUUAGCCUUUAGCCUUUUGGAGCCAUUUCUGUAUCUUUUUUUUCCUUUUCAGGUAUAAUUUCACACUUUUCCUUGGGCGUGCUGUGUUUAACACGCGUCCUGGUGUCGAGUCUCGUUCCAACAAUCCCUGAUUACGUUUUCACCAUCAAAGACCGCUCGACUUCACAGAAUGAACACACAACAUCAUUACAACUAUUCAUUCACCGCGCAUCGAGUUCCAUUGACUCGGCGGUGAAAUUAACACGAUACCCUGGCACGCGAGCAGCGGCGUUUAUUGUACGAGCGAGAGCAAAACACAACGUCUAUAUAAAGAACGGCACGAAAGAGGAAUGGCUUACAAGCAGCGGAGAACAAAGAUUAUGGGUCAGAAGCCAGAAUCCGAG
rnacentral:lncRNA from 1 species